GAUGAAGAACGUAGCGAAAUGCGAUAAGUAGUGUGAAUUGCAGAAUUCAGUGAAUCGUCGAAACUUUGAACGCACAUUGCGCCCUUUGGUAUUCCAAAGGGCAUGCCUGUUCGAGCGUCAUUUGUACCCUCAAGCUUUGCUUGGUGUUGGGCGUCUUGUCUCUAGCUUUGCUGGAGACUCGCCUUAAAGUAAUUGGCAGCCGGCCUACUGGUUUCGGAGCGCAGCACAAGUCGCACUCUCUAUCAGCAAAGGUCUAGCAUCCAUUAAGCCUUUUUUUUCAACUUUUGACCUCGGAUCAGGUAGGGAUACCCGCUGAACUUAAGCAUAUCAAUAAGCGGAGGA
rnacentral:misc_RNA from 1 species